GGCGGACGGGUGAGUAAUGUCUGGGAAACUGCCUGAUGGAGGGGGAUAACUACUGGAAACGGUGGCUAAUACCGCAUAACGUCGCAAGACCAAAGAGGGGGACCUUCGGGCCUCUUGCCAUCAGAUGUGCCCAGAUGGGAUUAGCUUGUUGGUGAGGUAACGGCUCACCAAGGCGACGAUCCCUAGCUGGUCUGAGAGGAUGACCAGCCACACUGGAACUGAGACACGGUCCAGACUCCUACGGGAGGCAGCAGUGGGGAAUAUUGCACAAUGGGCGCAAGCCUGAUGCAGCCAUGCCGCGUGUAUGAAGAAGGCCUUCGGGUUGUAAAGUACUUUCAGCGGGGAGGAAGGUGUUGUGGUUAAUAACCGCAGCAAUUGACGUUACCCGCAGAAGAAGCACCGGCUAACUCCGUGCCAGCAGCCGCGGUAAUACGGAGGGUGCAAGCGUUAAUCGGAAUUACUGGGCGUAAAGCGCACGCAGGCGGUCUGUCAAGUCGGAUGUGAAAUCCCCGGGCUCAACCUGGGAACUGCAUUCGAAACUGGCAGGCUUGAGUCUUGUAGAGGGGGGUAGAAUUCCAGGUGUAGCGGUGAAAUGCGUAGAGAUCUGGAGGAAUACCGGUGGCGAAGGCGGCCCCCUGGACAAAGACUGACGCUCAGGUGCGAAAGCGUGGGGAGCAAACAGGAUUAGAUACCCUGGUAGUCCACGCCGUAAACGAUGUCUACUUGGAGGUUGUGCCCUUGAGGCGUGGCUUCCGGAGCUAACGCGUUAAGUAGACCGCCUGGGGAGUACGGCCGCAAGGUUAAAACUCAAAUGAAUUGACGGGGGCCCGCACAAGCGGUGGAGCAUGUGGUUUAAUUCGAUGCAACGCGAAGAACCUUACCUGGUCUUGACAUCCACGGAAGUUUUCAGAGAUGAGAAUGUGCCUUCGGGAACCGUGAGACAGGUGCUGCAUGGCUGUCGUCAGCUCGUGUUGUGAAAUGUUGGGUUAAGUCCCGCAACGAGCGCAACCCUUAUCCUUUGUUGCCAGCGGUCCGGCCGGGAACUCAAAGGAGACUGCCAGUGAUAAACUGGAGGAAGGUGGGGAUGACGUCAAGUCAUCAUGGCCCUUACGACCAGGGCUACACACGUGCUACAAUGGCGCAUACAAAGAGAAGCGACCUCGCGAGAGCAAGCGGACCUCAUAAAGUGCGUCGUAGUCCGGAUUGGAGUCUGCAACUCGACUCCAUGAAGUCGGAAUCGCUAGUAAUCGUGGAUCAGAAUGCCACGGUGAAUACGUUCCCGGGCCUUGUACACACCGCCCGUCACACCAUGGGAGUGGGUUGCAAAAGAAGUAGGUAGCUUAACCUUCGGGAGGGCGCUUACCACUUUGUGAUUCAUGACUGGGGUGAAGUCGUAACAAGGUAACCGUAGGGGAACCUGC
rnacentral:rRNA from 1 species